AUUCAUUACACAAAAAAAUAUGAAAGGUGACUGCAGAUGACCUACAUGGCCAGUUUGCUAGAGGCUGAAUUAUUUAUCACCCCAUAUAAUUUGCGCACUUGUUGUUUCCUGGGCGGGUUAAAACAAACACCAGGACCACACCAUAAACCUUUUUAUCUGUAGUUGCAAUCAGCGUCAGUAACAAGUAAAUAAUCAUUUACAACUUUCAACAACGGAUCUCUUGGUUCUGGCAUCGAUGAAGAACGCAGCGAAAUGCGAUACGUAGUGUGAAUUGCAGAAUUCAGUGAAUCAUCGAAUCUUUGAACGCACAUUGCGCCCUUUGGUAUUCCAAAGGGCAAGCCUGUUCGAGCGUCAUUUGUACCCUCAAGCUUUGCUUGGUGUUGGGCGUUUUUGUCUUUGGCUACAGCCCGAAGACUCGCCUUAAAACGAUUGGCAGCCGGCCUACUGGUUUCGCAGCGCAGCACAUUUUUGCGCUUGCAAUCAGCAAAAGAGGUUGGCGAUCCAUCAAGUCUUACUUUCUCACUUUUGACCUCGGAUCAGGUAGGGAUACCCCCCUGAACUUAAGCAUAUCAAUAA
rnacentral:rRNA from 1 species